GCGAAUCGCUAGUAAUCGCGAAUCAGCAUGUCGCGGUGAAUACGUUCCCGGGCCUUGUACACACCGCCCGUCACACCAUGAGAGUUUGUAACACCCAAAGCCGGUGGGGUAACCGCAAGGAGCCAGCCGUCUAAGGUGGGACAGAUGAUUGGGGUGAAGUCGUAACAAGGUAGCCGUAGGAGAACCUGCGGCUGGAUCACCUCCUUU
rnacentral:rRNA from 1 species